UAAGCAUAUCAAUAAGCGGAGGAAAAGAAACCAACAGGGAUUGCCCUAGUAACGGCGAGUGAAGCGGCAACAGCUCAAAUUUGAAAUCUGGCCCCCUCCGGGGGUCCGAGUUGUAAUUUGCAGAGGGUGCUUUGGCUUUGGCGGCGGUCUAAGUUCCUUGGAACAGGACAUCGCAGAGGGUGAGAAUCCCGUACGUGGGCGCCUGCCACUGCCGUGUAAAGCCCCUUCGACGAGUCGAGUUGUUUGGGAAUGCAGCUCUAAAUGGGAGGUAAAUUUCUUCUAAAGCUAAAUACCGGCCAGAGACCGAUAGCGCACAAGUAGAGUGAUCGAAAGAUGAAAAGUACUUUGGAAAGAGAGUAAAAUAGCACGUGAAAUUGUUGUAGAGGAAGCGCUUGCAGCCAGACUUCCCCGUAGUUGCUCACCCGGGCUCUUGCCCGGGGCACUCUUCUGCGGGGAGGCCAGCAUCAGUUUGGGCGGUCGGAGAAAGGCCUCUGUCACGUAUCUCCCUCCGGGGUGACCUUAUAGGGGAGGCGUAAUGCGACCAGCCCGGACUGAGGUCCGCGCAUCUGCUAGGAUGCUGGCGUAAUGGCUGUAAGCGGCCCGUCUUGAAACACGGACCAAGGAGUCUAACAUCUAUGCGAGUGUUUGGGUGUCAAGCCCGGGCGCGCAAUGAAAGUGAACGGAGGUGGGAACCCUCGGGUGCACCAUCGACCGAUCCUGAUGUCUUCGGAUGGAUUUGAGUAAGAGCAUAGCUGUUGGGACCCGAAAGAUGGUGAACUAUGCUUGAAUAGGGUGAAGCCAGAGGAAACUCUGGUGGAGGCUCGCAGCGGUUCUGACGUGCAAAUCGAUCGUCAAAUUUGGGCAUAGGGGCGAAAGACUAAUCGAACUAUCUAGUAGCUGGUUCCUGCCGAAUUUCCCCCUC
rnacentral:rRNA from 1 species